rnacentral:lncRNA from 1 species
GCCGAACUCAGGACCCCGCCCUCACACGUGUACAUGCUAACACAGAUCCAAACUGUUGGAGCAGUUUAGAUUAGGAAGGUAGAUAGAAAAAAGAAGUAUGAAAGCCUUCAACCCAAAAUAUAUCAGAUGAAGAAAGAAGUUAAAUCAGCCUGAACAGUGGGGAGGAUGUCAAACGCUGGAGUUACCUGUAGCCUGGAAGGUUCUGCUAUUGAGCAGCAGAUUCCCAGGAUAGAGAGCAUGCCUCUGCUCCUCACUGCCUCAUCAGAAAGAGAGAGAGAGAGAGGGUGGUGGCUGGCACUCGCCCCAGGGAGUGAUCAGCAGGCUGUUUCUAGCAGAAGCCAGUGCGAGUUCUGUUAAGGAGGGUUGGAGUCUUCC